GAGUUUUAUUCUUGCUUUUUUGUUCAGUGUUUUCUUGUUUUAUAUGUAAGUUUUUGCGGGAUUCUAUAUCUCUUGAUGGGGAGUAUUGUUAUUAAUUCGCAUUAUUUGAUUUUAUAUAUCAUGGUUUCUUGGAUUUAGUAAUGAUUUUAGUAUUGGUUAAGUUUGUGCCAGCAGCCGCGGUUAUACAUUAAAUGCUAUUGAAUAUUUUUGGUCAUGCAGUUUUAUUACUUGUUUUGAGUGGGCUUUAAGUUGGAGUUAGGUUUAGUAGUUAAGUGAAAUUUUUACUUUUGUUUAUUGCUCAAGAAUUUUUUGUAGGCUGUGAAAUCUUUUUUGUAAACUAGGAUUAGAUACCCUAUUAUUUUUGAUGUUAAUUAUUUUUGCCUGGGUAGUAUUAGUUGUGUCCUUGAAACCCAAAGAAUUUGGCGGUAUUCCAUUCCUUUCAGAGGAAUCUGCCCCUUAAUCGAUAGUCCGCGUUGGACCUUUCUUAAUAUUUGUUUGUAUACCGCCGUCGUAAUGGGGAUCAUUUUUAGUGUUGUUAAUUUUCUGGUUUCAUUAUUUUGAUUUAUUUCAGGUCAAGGUGCAAUUUGUUUUUAAGUGUGAGGUGGAUUACAAUACGUUGUUUGAGUUUCCGGAUUAUUAAUUGGAAUUAUUUAAUAUGAAGUUGGAUUUGGUUGUAAUUUGUUGAAGAUUGUUUUAAUGAUGAUGGUUCUGGAAUAUGCACACAUCGCCCGUCGCUCUCAUUAUUUUUGUUGAGAUAAGUCGUAACAUAGUGGUCGUACCGGAAGGUGUGGCUGGAUUGAA
rnacentral:ncRNA from 1 species